rnacentral:rRNA from 1 species
GAUGAACGCUGGCGGCGUGCCUAAUACAUGCAAGUCGAGCGAACAGACGAGGAGCUUGCUCCUCUGACGUUAGCGGCGGACGGGUGAGUAACACGUGGAUAACCUACCUAUAAGACUGGGAUAACUUCGGGAAACCGGAGCUAAUACCGGAUAAUAUAUUGAACCGCAUGGUUCAAUAGUGAAAGACGGUUUUGCUGUCACUUAUAGAUGGAUCCGCGCCGCAUUAGCUAGUUGGUAAGGUAACGGCUUACCAAGGCAACGAUGCGUAGCCGACCUGAGAGGGUGAUCGGCCACACUGGAACUGAGACACGGUCCAGACUCCUAAGGGAGGCAGCAGUAGGGAAUCUGCCGCAAUGGGCGAAAGCCUGACGGAGCAACGCCGCGUGAGUGAUGAAGGUCUUCGGAUCGUAAAACUCUGUUAUUAGGGAAGAACAAAUGUGGAAGUAACUAUGCACGUCUUGACGGUAACUAAUCAGAAAGCCACGGCUAACUACGUG